AUAGAUAUGAAUAAAUUGGACUAAAGUUUUUGUUUAUAUUUUAAAAGACUUAAGAUUAAGCGAAUUAUGAAAUAAGGCGAUUAACAUGAAUGUAUUGCCUAACAAACUACCGUAACAUACGUCUUUCUUUUCAUAACCGAACCAUUUUUUUGCUAAGUGCAAAUAGUUAUCAAAGGUACCAGGAUUAUAAUUCAGUACGCUAGACGCGCGUUUCGUCUACAU
rnacentral:lncRNA from 1 species